GGUAGAUAUCCUUGGGUGGCAAGAACAACGAGAAGGAAUUAAAAAUGCCAAGGAAACUAUCUUUAUUUUGCAGGCAUGAAUCCACGAUGCCUCUUUAACCCUACCAAGAUUACUAACGGGUCAGUGCAGCAUGCUGCCUGCUGCCCAUACUCCGUUGCCUAUCGCUUCCUGUUGGAUACCAUAGUCAUUACAGCUAUGGAUACUCCUCUGAUGGCUCCAGCAGUAGGAGCUGUGCCAGUGUUCUGAACUGGAAUGCCACUUUCUGGUCCGGCACAACUCCACUGCCUAUGACAUCCUCCGCGUUCUCCAGAGAUCACUAGUCUAGUCACCUUAUUGCAACGGAGGACUCAUCAACAUCACCGGCAUCAACCAACGCAGCCUCUGCACCCCAUCCUUUGCUGUCAGCACUAUCUACUCACCGGGAAAGCUUCAAUCAGUAGACACCAAAUACUUAGGGAAGCUGAUGAAGCAGUGGCGACCUCCAUUUUAAUCUCCACAAGAACCAUCGAGGAUUCUGAACAACAACUCUAUUAGACAUUGACUUGGAGGAUGAAGAUUGGCCUGAACUACUAACUGGCUUUUGGUAUCAUAACCCAGCACAUAUAUUUCGUCAACCAGGUUCACAGGAUCUGAGAUAAUCUUCGAUAAAUAAACACAUAAGUUGACUGACCACCAGCAAGACUAGCUGAGACUGGAGCAAACCAGGAAGAAUUCUUGCAGUUGCACAAAAUGGACCAAGACAAAGAUCAAGAACAGGAGAAAAAGUAACAGUGCAAGAUGGAACAAGUGACCUUGCUUGCUACUGCCCUCACGCAGGAUAGACAAAGAAAAGGUAACAAAGCCAAGAUAUUAAAGUACCAGCAGAGCAGCUUCCGAAUUCCAGGCAAUAUUACAAUGAGGAGAGUAACAGCCUAUGAAUAUGUCAGAAGAGAUUCUACAAGAGGGUAUUGACUACAAAUACACCAAAGAAGGCUGGAUUUACAACAAACAAGGAAUUGUGCUGAGCCCCAAACACCUUAUAGAAUAAAUAAUUUAUUUUUU